rnacentral:rRNA from 1 species
CCUACGGGAGGCAGCAGUGGGGAAUAUUGGACAAUGGGGGGAACCCUGAUCCAGCGACGCCGCGUGAGUGAAGAAGUAUUUCGGUAUGUAAAGCUCUAUCAGCAGGGAAGAAAGAAAUGACGGUACCUGACUAAGAAGCCCCGGCUAACUACGUGCCAGCAGCCGCGGUAAUACGUAGGGGGCACGUUUUAUCCGGAUUUACUGGGUGUAAGGGGAGCGUAGACGGCGAUGCAAGUCUGAAGUGAAAGGCGGGGGCCCAACCUCCGGACUGCUUUGGAACCUGUAUGGCUGGAGUGCAGGAGAGGUAAGUGGAAUUCCUAGUGUAGCGGUGAAAGGCGUAGAUAUUAGGAGGAACACCAGUGGCGAAGGCGGCUUACUGGACUGUAACUGACGUUGAGGCUCGAAAGCGUGGGGAGCAAACAGGAUUAGAUACCCGAGUAGUC